CACGUAGGGUGCGAGCGUUGUCCGGAAUUAUUGGGCGUAAAGAGCUCGUAGGCGGUGUGUCGCGUCGGCCGUGAAAACUGUGGCUUAACUAUGGGCUUGCGGUCGAUACGGGCAGGCUGGAGUUCGGUAGGGGAGACUGGAAUUCCUGGUGUAGCGGUGAAAUGCGCAGAUAUCAGGAGGAACACCGGUGGCGAAGGCGGGUCUCUGGGCCGAUACUGACGCUGAGGAGCGAAAGCGUGGGGAGCGAACAGG
rnacentral:rRNA from 1 species